rnacentral:rRNA from 1 species
CAGUCGCCGCGGUAAAACGUAGGGUGCAAGCGUUAAUCGGAAUUACUGGGCGUAAAGCGUGCGUAGGCGGUUUGUUAAGUCUGCUGUGAAAUCCCCGGGCUCAAUCUGGGAAUGGCAGUGGAUACUGGCAAGCUAGAGUGUGUCAGAGGAUGGUGGAAUUCCCGGUGUAGCGGUGAAAUGCGUAGAGAUCGGGAGGAACAUCAGUGGCGAAGGCGGCCAUCUGGGACAACACUGACGCUGAGGCACGAAAGCGUGGGGAGCAAACAGGAUUAGAGACCCCCGUAGUCCCUGUCUCUUAUAA